ACAAACAAACAACAACAACAACAAACAACAACAACAACAACAACAACAAGCAACUGCGCUAUAAGAAAUGGUACAUAAGACUGUUAAGGACUAUGGCCAGGUGAAGGGUCAAGUCAAUUCUCCAAGAGCCUCCACAGCUGUGAAUCAUAAACUUGAAGGAGCUGCGGGGGCAGCCGUUGCUGACACAGGUGUUGCUUGUGGACUGGAAUGAAAUAAAUAGGAGGCAGAGGGAGGCAGGCAGAGUUCUCUCACUCUCCUUGUAUCAUGUCACCCUCUCACAAGAAGGGGUCCGUUCUCCCGGUCUGAAUUGGCAGCCACUGGCAGGUGGCUCCCAUGACAUCUGGCAGACACUAGAAGGUGGCUCCCGCGGCUCAACAGAAGACAUCGUGAGUCCUCCCAGAAAACGAGCAACCCACUUCUCUCCUUCCUGCCCCAUCCUCUCUGGGACGUCCAUAGCCCAUCCUCAAUGUCGGGUCCAACCUGGUCUUCUCUUCAGAGAUCCCCUCGGACUUUCUGAGGAUCCACUAGCGGUGAGUGAGGACGUGGAAAGCCAAACAGACUCGGCAGCAAACGUUCUUCUCGUCUACGUGCUGAAUGCCUCAUUGAAGGCGGGCUUUUGCCAACUGCGGUCUGGUGUCAGAAUUGGAUUGAAAGGUUUGGUCGCUCUGUCGAAUGUCACAAAGGUGAACGUGUAAUCGGCCGGGCUCGUGGGCCCUUGGAGACAGAGAGCCAUUGUGUUUGGGCCGGAGCCCCCAUGGGCGGGCUAGACUCUGCUGGACCCUGGAACAACACUACUCAAAGUCGGCUAUUUUGGAUUGUUUGGAUUUCACUGCUCUCCUCCAUCCCCCAAAGCAUUUGCAACUACAGGGACCUCGAAAGCCAUCUAGUCCAAUGGGAUUCUCUGAGAGCGGUCCCCCAGCUUUUACCCAAUGCCCUGCCAAGGAACCGCAAGACUUAGAGAUGGAGGAGAUCUUAAAGAUUGCCCUCACAUUUUACAGAGGAAGAAACUGAGGCUCAGAAAGACUUUCCCAAAGUCAUAGAAGUGCUAAGUAGCAAGGGCCAGGAUCCAGUGCUCUUCAUUUAGAUCUUUCUUUACACUGUGCCAUCUCUGGUCCCAGUCUGUUUGCUGUUUCAAAGAUACCAGGUGACAAGACAAAUGUUUUUAUUGUUUUUCUUCAAAAUCAGAGUAGGUGGAGAGGGGCAUAUGGGAAAGUGUAGAAAAUCAGAGAGACAGACAGGGGGAGAGACAGACGAACGGAUGGGGGGUGGGGUGGGGGGACAGACAGACAGGGAGAAACACCGAGGGAGAGGAAUAUGAAACUAAAUAGGUCUCUCCUAGUUCUCUAAAAGGCUAAUGGACAUGGGGAGAGUUGGCUCGGUUCUGGUCCCAAGAGGCAAUGUUGUUCCCUUAUUCAUUCAUGGCACAGACACUUAUUUGGCAUGCAUGUGGGCCAGGAGCCAUGCAAGACCCUGGGAUACCGGCAGAGACACAAUGUAGACCCAGGCUACACCGGCCAAGCUGGCCAGAGGCGGCCUCUUGGAGAGCAGCUGCCCUGCCCCUCCGUCCCCUCCCUCUCCUCCUCCAGUGGGAACAGCGUGGCGGGGGUGGGGGGUGCAGGGAUCUCUGGCUUUGCUGCUGAGCGCCCCGGCGGCCCCAAGGAGAGCGGGCAGAAGCUGCCCUCCCAGCCCCUCUGAACACUAGACCCAUUGGCGCCAUCUGCCACUCGGUACGGUUGUGCAUGGGCCCUGGAAGGCUAAUUUGAAUCUUGCCUCUUCUACUAGGUCCCUCAGCCAAGACUCUCCCCUUCUGUGCCUCAGUUUCUUUGCCUGUAAGAGGAAAAGCCGGCCCAGGUACAUGGGGCAGGCGUGGCCGCUGGCCAGGAUUGGGGCCGCUGGUUUUCGCUCUUUCCUAGUCUUCCCCGGCCGAGCAUCCCUCUGACGAGCAGCAGCUGCAUCUGGCAAACAGGCUGGGCAGGUCCGGGUCCUGCUGCAUCAUGUUCCAGAGUGUCCCGGCUGCCGUCUCUGUGGGACCCGGAGCGCCUGAGCCCCCGAGGUCAGGCAGAUGUUUGGAGAACGGCUCGCCCGGAACAAGGACUGCUCUGUCUCUUUCCAGGGCAACUUGGGGAAAGAAACAGAGCCUGGGUCCCGGCCCUGGCUGUUCUGCCAACUGAAUGGCCACGUGGCCUGGGCAGCAGGCGGGGAUUGCAUCACAGGGAACUAGCACACCUCGGGACUCUCCAGACACAGACAGUUUGCACAGACCCGCAGUGGGAAGUACUGUGUGCCAGUGGCACCGAGGGGUGACAUAGUGGCUGUCGGAGCACCUGAGCAGGGCAGAAAUCUUCCUUGGGCCCCUCGGCCUUUUCUCCUUCCUGCCAAGAAGACCUACAGUUUUGUGGGCUCCCUCUUCAAACCGAAAGAUGAUCCAGUCACCCACUUCCCAGGCUUCCACUGCCUCUCACAUCUACUCAUUUAUAGGAGCUUCUGGCUGUCCCUCAUCCAUAACAUCCCGUUCCCAUCUCCCUCUCCAUCCAUUGGCCCACACUGCGCCCCAUUCCUGGAAAGGUCUCCUUUCUUACCUAGACUUCCCAGAAUUCCUCCACAGAACUCAGAACUAUGAGCACAGCAGUAGAGAUUUUAAAACUGGCCAGAGCUGUGCUAAGCCUUGGGUCUGGAGGACCGAAGCCGGAGUUCUCCCUCCCUCACCGUCCACCCUCCCGAGGGAUGAGGAUGGAGAUGCACGUUCUCAGGCUGCACGGUUGGAAACUGGUUUGGCCGGAUGAUGUGCGCUGAUGACGAGGGCUCUGUUUUUUAUUUACUUGUAUUUUUUGUUCUGUGGGUGUGGGAGGGAGAGGUAAUACAGGCCUUAAAAAAAGUAAAUGAUAAAAAAUCUC